AGACGCAUUUCCCCCUGGAUAUUUUGGCUCUGUGGUUGGCUGAACCCGCGGAUGCGGAACCCUCUGGUGCAGAGGGUGACUGGACUGGAAGAUGCUCGUGUUCCCUUCACUUGGGAGGCAUUUUUGAUGUCCCUGGUUCUCUGUUCUCCAAGAGGAGAAGAGGGUCCACUUUUUCUGCUGCAAGUUCACGUUGUCCUCGGUGACCUGAGUGAUCUUCUCUAUCAGCUGGUGAGAAAAAGAAAGAUGUUGAAUGCAGAGUGGCAUCAGGAGAGGGGACCAGAGGAUGGCAGCUGGAGACCCCCAGCUCAGCAGGGCCUGGCGUCCCGAUCCCCGAAGAGGAGCGAAGGAGCCCGUGGCGACGGGCCACACUGACCUGCUGGUCGGUGAUGGUCUUGUCCUGGCUUGGCUUCGCCCGCCCGUAGGUGGCCUUGAUGAUCUGGCUUCUGAACUGCUCCAGCUGCGGCACAAAGGGGGCGACAGGUCACAGGCCUCUGGGAGUGUGACCAAGGACUCCCAGAAACAAAGAAACAGGCACGGAUUGGGGUGUGGAUGUGGACGUCACCUCGGGACACGUGAGCUGAAGCAGUUUCUUUCUGGAGUCCUCCUGAAGUUUCUCUUCCACCUGAAAGGAUGAGGAAAGCCUGUGUCUGGGGCUCAUGUGGCUCCAAUGCACCCUGGGGAGACUCCACUGGGAGGUCUAAUGGCCUGGGUCCCUCAGGGGCAGAGGGACAGCUGCAGCCCAUGCAGGGGUCACGACACGUUCGCCCGUGGAGACGCUCUGGGUGGCUGGCUGAGCACUGGCUGGUGGAGAAUCGCAGCCGGCAGAGCAGGCACUUGGCUCUCGGCUCCCCACGGCUCCCUUAAGCAGGAGGGGAGCCUGGGAGUGUUCGAUGCUGCCCUCUGCUGGCCGUCAUGGGACCCUGCAGCCUCUCUAUUCAGUUU